UACGGAGGGAGCUAGCGUUGUUCGGAAUUACUGGGCGUAAAGCGCGCGUAGGCGGUUUUUCAAGUCAGGGGUGAAAGCCCGGGGCUCAACCCCGGAAUUGCCUUUGAAACUGGAAAACUUGAAUCUUGGAGAGGUCAGUGGAAUUCCGAGUGUAGAGGUGAAAUUCGUAGAUAUUCGGAAGAACACCAGUGGCGAAGGCGACUGACUGGACAAGUAUUGACGCUGAGGUGCGAAAGCGUGGGGAGCAAACAGG
rnacentral:rRNA from 1 species